rnacentral:sRNA from 2 species
GAAUGCAUAAAGGGAGUCAAGGUCAUAUGAUUCUGUGCUUGCACUAAUGAUCAUUUGACUUUGAAGACCGAACAAACAUGAGGAAGUAGCAUGAUAAUGCGAAUUCCGAAUGUUUGUAGGAUUGCGUGAGCGAAGCGGAGCAAUCCGUAUGCAUUC